rnacentral:rRNA from 1 species
UGAGGAAUAUUGGUCAAUGGGCGGGAGCCUGAACCAGCCAAGUCGCGUGAGGGAGGAAGGUCCUACGGAUUGUAAACCUCUUUAGCCGGGGAGCAACGUGCGCCACGUGUGGCGCAGUGAGAGUACCCGGAGAAUAAGCAUCGGCUAACUACGUGCCAGCAGCCGCGGUAAUACGUAGGUGGCGAGCGUUGUCCGGAAUUAUUGGGCGUAAAGGGAGCGCAGGCGGGAAGGUAAGUCUAUCUUAAAAGUGCGGGGCUCAACCCCGUGAGGGGAUGGAAACUAUCUUUCUUGAGUGCAGGAGAGGAAAGCGGAAUUCCUAGUGUAGCGGUGAAAUGCGUAGAUAUUAGGAGGAACACCAGUGGCGAAGGCGGCUUUCUGGACUGUAACUGACGCUGAGGCUCGAAAGCGUGGGGAGCGAACAGGAUUAGAUACCCUGGUAGU